rnacentral:rRNA from 2 species
ACAAUGGAGAGUUUGAUCCUGGCUCAGGAUGAACGCUAGCGGCAGGCUUAACACAUGCAAGUCGAGGGGCAGCAUAAUGGAUAGCAAUAUCUAUGGUGGCGACCGGCGCACGGGUGCGUAAC